rnacentral:rRNA from 1 species
UACGGAGGGGGUUAGCGUUGUUCGGAAUUACUGGGCGUAAAGCGCACGUAGGCGGACCAGAAAGUUGGGGGUGAAAUCCCGGGGCUCAACCUCGGAAUGGCCUUCAAAACUCCUGGUCUUGAGUUCGAGAGAGGUGAGUGGAAUUCCGAGUGUAGAGGUGAAAUUCGUAGAUAUUCGGAGGAACACCAGUGGCGAAGGCGGCUCACUGGCUCGACACUGACACUGAGGUGCGAAAGCGUGGGGAGCAAACAGG